CACGUAGGGCGCAAGCGUUGUCCGGAAUUAUUGGGCGUAAAGAGCUCGUAGGCGGUCUGUUACGUCUGCUGUGAAAACCCAGGGCUUAACCCUGGGCUUGCAGUGGAUACGGGCAGACUAGAGGCAGGUAGGGGAGAAUGGAAUUCCCGGUGUAGCGGUGAAAUGCGCAGAUAUCGGGAGGAACACCGGUGGCGAAGGCGGUUCUCUGGGCCUGACCUGACGCCGAGGAGCGAAAGCGUGGGGAGCGAACAGG
rnacentral:rRNA from 1 species